AGAAUCAACGCUGGCGGCGUGCCUAACACAUGCAAGUCGCACGAGAAAGGGUAGCAAUACCUGAGUACAGUGGCGCACGGGUGAGUAACACGUGAAUGAUCUACCUCCGAGUGGGGAAUAACUGAGAGAAAUCUUAGCUAAUACCGCAUAAUACCCACGGGUCAAAGCAGCAAUGCGCUUGGAGAGGAGUUCGCGGCCGAUUAGUUAGUUGGCGGGGUAAUGGCCCACCAAGACGAUGAUCGGUAUCCGGCCUGAGAGGGCGCACGGACACACUGGAACUGAAACACGGUCCAGACUCCUACGGGAGGCAGCAGUGGGGAAUUUUGCGCAAUGGGGGAAACCCUGACGCAGCAACGCCGCGUGGAGGAUGAAGCCCCUUGGGGUGUAAACUCCUUUCGAUCGGGAAGAUAAUGACGGUACCGAUAUAAGAGCCCCGGCUAACUCGUGCCAGCAGCCGC
rnacentral:rRNA from 1 species